GAGCAGAGAGCAGUGCAGGGGCAGGGAGGUCGCCUGCCCGCAGCACAGAGGUCCCCAACUUCCCCUUCUUCGUGCAGAAGGCGGCGAGACGGCGGUGAGACAACAGCAGCUGCACAGAUGAGAAAACCUGAAGCACAGAAAGGUCAAGUUCCUUGCCUAAGGUCAGACCUCAAGUGCUGAAUACUGGAACUAGUUAUCGAAUUUACAUCUUCUGAAGGCUCUGUUCUGCUCUCCACUUGUCGCCUCAUCCAAACAGCAACUCAGCCACCAGGCCAUCUUUAGGAGGCUGCAGCGCAUUGUGGGAGAGAGCACUUGACUUGGAGUCUGGGUUUGCGUUUCGGCUGCCCACUGGCCUGCUGAAGAACCCCGGGAAAACCCUUGUGUGGUAUUCAGUUUUGCCACGGUCAAUGGAACCUUCUUGAGAGUCAGGGCGGGAGCCAGUUCUUGGAGGAGACUCGGUACAGGACAUGGAUCGCUGCGGGGCCCUUUUCCUCUGCCUGUGCCUCUUGAUGUCUCAGAGCAGAACAGAGGAGGCAUCCCAAGAAAUCCUGCGCUGGAUGAAGAGAAUGGAGACGGCAGCCAGGAGCCGGAGCCUCACUUCUUUUGCUGAGCUCAUCCAUGGCCUAGAGUCAAGGCUACUCAAUGCCAGCUUUGGGGGCCAUAACCUCACUUUGCGGACGCAUACCAUCCAGACACUAGCCUUCAAGCUGGGCUGCAACUUCACUGGCCUCUCACUGGGAAGUGCUGCUCUGCAGCAGGUCCCCCAGGCCCAGGUCCCACUCGCCAUGCAGUUCCCAGCUGAGUUGACUCAUGAUGCCUGCAGGGUGCGCCCCAGGGAGCUGACUCUCAUCUGCAUCUACUUCUCCAACACCCGCUUUUUUCAGAAAGACAUCAAUUCAUCUGUGCUCAAUAACUAUGUUCUGGGGGCCCAGCUGAGCCAUGGACAAGUGAGCAACCUCCGUGAGCCGGUGAACAUCAGCUUCUGGCACAACCAAAGCCUGGAAGGCUACACGGUGACCUGUGUCUUCUGGAAGGAGGGAGCCAGCAAGCACCACUGGGGGGCCUGGAGCACUGAGGGCUGUCGCACAGAGCAGCCCUCACCUUCCCAGGUGCUCUGCCGCUGCAACCACCUCACCUACUUUGCUGUUCUCAUGCAACUCUCCCAGGCCCCGGUCCCUGCAGAGCUGCUGGCGCCCCUCACAUACAUCUCCCUGGUGGGCUGCAGCAUCUCCAUCGUGGCCUCGCUGCUCACUGUCCUGCUGCACCUCCUUGCCAGGAAGCCGAGUGAUUCCAUUACGUGCAUCCACGUGAACCUGCACGCCUCGGUGCUGCUCCUCAAUGUCGCCUUCCUGCUGAGCCCAGUGCCAGCCGUGCCCCCCGUGCCUGAGUCAGCAUGCGUGGCACUGGCUGCCACCCUGCACUACGCGCUGCUCAGCUGCUUCACCUGGAUGGCCAUUGAAGGCUUCAACCUCUACCUCCUACUUGGGCGCGUCUACAACAUCUACAUCCGCCGAUACGUGCUCAAGCUCUGUGCCCUGGGCUGGGAUGCUGGGUGCGGGACGCCUGGGUGCACGGUAUCCUGGUCAUGGGCUCUGGUGGCCUCACAUCCCUUUUCAACCUGGUGGUGCUGGCCUGGGCGCUACGGGUCCUGCACAGACUGCGGGCGCAGGAGAAGGCGCUGGGUCCCCGGGCCUGCUGGGAUACCGUCACCGUGCUGGGCCUCACCGUGCUGCUGGGCACCACCUGGAUCUUGGCCUUCUUCUCCUUUGGUGUCUUCCUGCUGCCCCAGCUCUUCCUCUUCACCACCUUCAAUUCGCUCUACGGUUUCUUCCUCUUCCUGUGGUUCUGCUCCCAGAGGCGCCACUCAGAGGCGGAGAUGGAGGCAUUCUGCUCCUCCCAGAUGGUGCAGUAGUCUGGACUGUCUGGACCUCCUGGCCUGGAGCCCCCAGCUUCUCUGGCUGCCUGCAGCCGGAGGCCCUGGCUUCCACUCGAGAAGAUGGCAGGCCAGCUGCUGGACACCAGAGGCCACUGUCACCUCCAGGGGGCCUUUUCCACCUCCAUGCCUUCCCCAGGCCCAGAGGGCCGCGUGUUGCUCUCUGUCCCCAGGCAUUCUGCUCUGGGGCAGGUCCAGCCCCACCUGGGGGCAGCAAACUUGCCCCUGGUGCCUGGGCCCAGCUGGCCAGGCCUAUGGCCAGAGCACUGGCCUGGGAGUCAGGAGGCCACGUUUCAAUGCCUUUCUCUGAGUUUCACUGUCUGACCUUGGGCCUGUCAUUUCUCACUGACUCUUGGUUUCCACAUCUGUGACAUGGUGGCAGAUGGCUCUGGUCCUGCCUAAUCCCAGAGCUUUAUGCAGAUUCAAUGGCACCAGGGAGGACGAGGUCAUAGUGGGGUGGGGAUCCCCACCCCGGCCUGGGCCUGCCCUUGAAACACCUGCUGGGCCCUGCUUCCUUCCUCCGGGAGAGGGUCAGCCUUGGCCGGGGGUCCCCAGCCCAGCGCUUAGAGACCCACCCAGUGUGUGAGACCUCACCAGCCUGUAACUGAGGCCUCUUUUCCUUUAACCCCCAAAUUAUGAUGACUCUAACUCCAAGUCCACCCUUCCCAAAGAUCAGGAAGUCCAGUCCUUUCCAGAGGCUCCUCUUCCAGCGUUCCCCAGACCCCCAUAGGCCAUUAAGACCAGCAGCUGGGGCCACAGGGCUUCCUGGAGGUGGGAGGGGAGCACCUCUUUCCCCUCCAUCUGAGUUCCAGUGAUCCGGCUAUUUGAUGACUGGGCAGGAUUGAAUUUCACCUGGUAGGCGUGAGGGUGUGGGUUCUAAAUCCCAAGCUUGUUUGUCUGUUCUCUUGGAGUUGGUGGGCACCUAAAGUAUUUAUAAAUUGGUAUAAAUUAUACAAGUCUUUUGUCAGGCUUCCCAUUUCAGUUUCCUUCCUGUUUGUUUUGUUAGCUGUCGCAGUUGUAGAAAAUCACCAUUGCCCUUGCCCUGUCCUGUCAGGCCAAGUGGGAGACCACUCAUGAAGCGAGCGCCUUUCCCAGGCUUCACACCAGGGGGCCCUGUCGGCCAAUGUCAGAAGCCACUGGGUCCAAAACCAUGUCUGGUGAUGCUGUGGUCGCCUGUCUGUGGGUAUGACACACCAGAUGGAGAGGCUCUGCCUCCAGGACUGCACCUGCUGGGCGACCAGCAGGAGGAAUGCUAGCAUUGCCUACACAGCCAUUUCUCUCUUUCCCAACGCAGCCACCCGCUCUGGCUCUUGGGGUCUCAUGCUCUGGGCAUACGUGGCACUAGAGCGCUGGGCUGGGGUAGGCUCUCAGGGCCCCGCUCCAGGCCAUCAGAUAGAUUGCGAUGACUUUGAACGUCACUGGGAGGGAGUUGGAGCCGGAUCCCUUUUCUCCCAGGGGGACCCUCUGCCCUCUGUUCAUUUCUUGAUAUGAAUAGCCCUUCACUAAUUGGUGAGUGGCGCAGGCUCCGCAUACUGCCUGGGCUCAAGGGCCCGCUCUGUCACUUGUCAGCUGUGUGACUGUGGACAAGCCACUCCACCUCUCUGUGCCUGAGUUUUCCCAUCUGUAAAAUGGGGCAAUAGUAAUACCUAUUUUGAAGGGUAAAUAAAAUAACCCAUAUAAAGAGGCGUAGCAGAGGGUAAGUGCUCAGUAAAGGGUUAUCGUUAUCAUUCGUAUUUUGUUAUUAUUAUUACAGUGUCAACUGAGUCUCAGAGGCCGACCCUCUAAGGUCCAGUCUGCUCGGCCUCACAGGCCCAGCUCCUCGCUCAGCAUAUCCCGCUGUCCUUCGGCUGCGCUACCUCCUCUCCCACUUUCCCCAGAGCUGCCUUUGGUCCAGCCUUGCUGGCCUUUUGUUAUUUUAGGGACAUUUCUCACAUGGUACAGGCUCCAGGCCAUUGCCACCUGUCCCCCUACCCCUCGGUUUUCAAAUCCUCUGAUCUAUCUAAAUUCUCAGGGGCUCAGUUAUCAUGCCUCCCAUGAAAUCUCUCCAGUUUUCCCACAGAAGAGGUCUCUCUCCCACUCCUACUCCAGCAGAGUGUCCCCCUGCCUCUCUCAGGGUGAUGUGAGCCCCCAUUCGAGCUCCCCUAGUUUGGCCAGCCCUAGCUUGUACUAGGCUCCCCAGGCCUUGGGGUGGGCCCCCGUCCCAAUGCGGGUGCCAAGGAUCACGGGCACGUCCGGCCUCUCUCUUGGGCAGCUCCGGGGAGCGGUCCGCAGCCCACUGAAGCAGGGCCUUGCCUAGGACCCAGCCCAGCCCAGACCUGGCCUUUUAGAUCCUACCAAGCCUAGGGCUGCCCAAGGGAGGAUGUGGCCACAGUGACACAGAAUGGUUCUGGUAAUUCUAGGAAACGGCCCCAGCUCUGUGGCCCUGAGCCUGGUUGGGGGUUCAGGCGCUGGGCAGGGACCACUUCCCGGAAACGCCCUAACCGGGUGGGGGGCAGGGCUGAGGGAGCCGUUGAUGGGCCUCAGUGCCCUCCCCUCACUCCCAGUGGGGUCCUGGCCUUGCCCAGACUGGGCACCGGGCCCAUCUGUCAAGGGCUUCCAGACUUAGUGGGAAGAUGGAGCUGGAGGCCCCUAGGGCUCACUGCUCAGGGCCAGAGUCUCCGAGGAGGCCCGGGGUGAAGGAGGACAAGUCGAAGCCAGAAAGGCCACAGACUAGCAGUUUCUAUGUUGCUUUGUUGCUGUUUUUUUUUCAGAAAGACAAUGUGUGUAUGGGGGGAGGAGGGUUGAAUGAGGGUUGCCCGAUAAAAUACAGGAUGCCCAAUUUGAGGGACAGAUACAAAAAAAUGUUCACUGUUUAUCUGAAAUUCAAAUUUUAUCCUGUAGAUCUCCAUCUAUUUAUUUUUUUCUUUUCUUUAUUUCUUUUGCUAAGUCUGGCAACACUCUUAGAAAGGAGCAUUGGCUCUGGAGUCCGAGGUGUCCACUCUUUACCCUUCAAAUCGAUCCACCCUGUGCUGACUGGGGACCCCUCUGCCCACUGCAUGAGCCCUGCACUCAACUCGAGCCUCCUCCUCCAGGGCUCCCAUUGCCAGCCAAGGUUGCCACCAGAAUGCUAAAGGGCUCUGCCUUGUGGUGCCCCUCCCAUCAACCAUGGUGCAGACCAGCCUCCAUCCGCCACAGAGCCUCUUCACAGGCCUCCCUGCCUCCCCACUCCCAGUCUGAGCUUGACUCAGAAGCCAGAGGGAAUUUUUUUGUCCUGUAACCUGACCAUGUCCCUCUCUGCUGAAACCCUCCUUGUAGUCGAAUUCCCCUCCGGAGCUCGAAGACCCUGGGGGUCUGACCUGUGCUCACUUCUCCCACCCGUCUCCCACCAUUCCUUCCUCAUCCUCCUUGCUUCUGCCACCCUUAACUAUUAAUACUUCAAGUUCCCUGAACAGGUCCUUUCUCACCUCCAGGACUUGGCACAAGCUGCCUGGAGCACUGUCCGUCAGGUCUUUCAUUUGCAGAAAGAUGGCAACACACCCUUAUGAUCUCAGCUUUGCAGCCUCUCCUGAUCUCCAUGUGUCUGGACCAGGAAGCUGCCCCUGACCUGUAAAAUCUAGGAUGGGACCUUCUCUCGCCUCCAUAGCCUUUGCCCUUCCCCCACGACAAUAGUUAUUUCUCUCUCUUAUGAAUGUCUGUGUCAUUUCAAAAGUGAAUUAUCAUCUGCAAAUUUACUUCAACAAAUCUUUUAAAAAUUGGUAGACUAGGGAGACAAAGCCACCAGCAGCAUGGGAUAUUUCAAAUGCUUCUCUUAAUUAUUGAUGGCAAAGCUGAACAAAUUAGCCAAGAUAUGGAAGAUUUGGACAACAUAAGCAACAGACUUGAUAUAAUGGACAUUAAUUGAAUUUUGUCUCCCACGAUCAGAUUCUCCUUAAGCACUUAUGGACUAUUUUCAAAACUUAAUAGUAUACUAGAUUAGAAAGCCACCUCCAAAAAAGUUUCAAAGAAUUGCUAUUAGAGCACAUUCUUUGACCUCAGUGCAGUGGAGUUAGUAAGCACAAGCACAACUUUAAUACUGUUUGAAGAAAAUAUAGGUUAAUAUCUUUCUGACUUCAGGGUGGGGAAACAACUCUUAAAGAAAACACCAAAAAGGUGUUAACCAUGAUGAAAAGAUGCAACUGACCACAUUAAAGAUAAUUUCUGUUUGAGAUAGAGUCACAGAUGUAGAAAACAAACAUAUGGUUACCAAGGGGGAGGGGGGGGAGGGAUAAAUUGGGAGAUUGGGAUUGACAUAUGCACACUACUAUAUAUAAAAUAGGUAACUACUAAGGACCGACUGUAUAGCACAGCAAACUCUUCUCAAUACUCUGUAAUGACCUAUAUGGGAAAAAAAAAUCUAAAAAAUAGUGGGUACAUGUAUAUGUAUAACUGAUUCACUUUCCUAUACAUCAGAAACUAACACAACAUUUUAAAUCAACUACACUCCAAUAAAAUUUUUAAAAAAUUAAAAAUAAUUUCUGUUUCCCAAAAGACACCUGAAAAUAAGUGAAAAGACGAGCCAUAUCUGGGAAAAGAUGUAAGCACAGAGCUGGUAUCAAGAUCCCCUAUGGAUCAGUAAGAAAAGAUAAACAACUUAAGAGAAAAAUGAGCAAAAACCAUGACCUGGCAUUCCACAAAAGAUGAAAUGGCCAGAAAACAUGAUGGGAUCUUAAGUUCACUAGCGAUCAGGGACAUGGAAAGGAAGACCACAAUGAGACGUUAUUUUUUACCCAGUUGGCUGGUAAAAAGUGCGACAUCUGACACUGUUAAAUGUUGGCUGGGAUGUGGAUCAGCAGGAACUCUCAAAAUUGCUGUCAGGACUGUAAAGUGAUUCAAGCCUCGUGGAAAAACAGUUUGGCAUUCCUCUGUAAAGAUAACAGUGGCACACCCGUGUCCCAGCCAUUCCACUCCCAGGAUUCUAUCUGAGAGGAAGCCCUGCAGGUGUAUCUAGUUACACAUCUGAAAGUGUUCAUAAGAGCACUGCUGGCAAUCGCAGAAAUGCUGCAACAACGUGGUGAAUCUAAGACACGCGGUGCUGAGUUGAAAAACUCAAAUCCCAGAGACUGUACAUGGUUUGAUACUCUUUAGUUUGAAACCCAGCACAAGCAAAUGAUAUCUAAGCAUGUAUACUCUACUAAGCUCUACAGACAGAGUGAGUGAGUGACAGCCACAAAGUUCAGGACGCCUCUGGGGAGGGAGAGGGGAGGAGGGGGAAGGGUAGUGGAGGCUCCAGAAUUUGGAUUUUAUUGGAAGGCAAAGGGGAGCUGGUUUCUGAGAAGAGUGAUGUGAUUCCAACUUUUUUUUUUUUAAUUUGAAAUUAAGUUUAUUCGUGCAUUAAACAGUUACAGAAUACCCAUGGGACAUUUUUAGUCCAACAAUUAAAAUUGCAUUUAAAAGCCAACUGGAAGAGUUUACAGACCAAAAAGACAUCUGGAGUAACUACUGUUCCCCUUUCCUUGAGUUUAUAUAUAUUUACCUUUUAGGCAAGAGAGAGAACUGUGAUUACUUCGUAUUCCAGGGGAUGUGAUUUCCAGUUCCAUUGUCUUAAUGUGUAUAAGAUUCUUCUGUGAAGGCCAGAGAAGGUCAAAGAAUUUGAUGUUGAUUGGAAGAAUUAAGAAGACAAGACUAAUGGUCAUGGCGAGGCUGAGAAGGCUGCGGCGGGAGCUCAUACCUACUUGGACUUCUCACAUACGUUGGUGCCCAAACCUAACCAGGACUGGACCGUGUCAAACACUUCUCUGAACAAAGUGGUUCAUCAGUUUUCUCUUCAGGGUGCAUUCCAAGGCAACAGUGUGAUCCAUGAUGAAUUUUUCCUGGUCUGUUUUUGGCUUGUCUCGGUGCUAAAGUCUAUGGCAAUACAAAACAGCACGAUCAUUUACUGUGAGACCUGCCCGAGUCAAAGAAUGGGCUCUCUUAAGUCUCAGCAGUCAGGGUUUAACCUAGCUCAUUUUUCUUGGCUAUUCUCAUCAUCCAGAUGACAGGAAACUCCUGUGGGGCAUCUCUUUUAUUCUCCUCCAUGGGUUCCAAAGGGCAGUCUUGACCUAUGGCCAGCACCUGUCCGACAGUCACGUCAGCACGAGCAGCUUUCAAGUAGCUGGCACGCACCUGCCAGUCCUCCACAGAACAGGGCUCCACCACUGAGUCUCUGGGGAGGUCAGCUGGGAGAGGCGUCUCUAGGCAGCAAGGAAGGCUCUCCCCUUCUGGACUGGGAAGGACCCUCGGGACUGCAUGGUUCAACAGGCGGCUGAGACCUGACAUUACCAUGAUGUCACCGCUGUGCAUAAACAUGGGCGUGGGGGCUUCAUCUCUUUUGAGGUCACCCAGGGGAAAGAUGGCAGACUGUCCAAAGCUGAACGACAGCAGGGGUUUGGAGUGCUCUAGUUCAGAUUUAUCUACAUGGGUUCCCAGCGUGGAGUCUCAUCGGUAGUAAUUCAGGAUACCAGCUUCAGCUCGGAAACCCUGAAAUCCACAGGCGGUGUCCACUUACCCUGAGAGGAAAGUCAGGUCAGCAGGGGAAGGUGUGUAGUGAUCUGCAGAGUAUUUCUUACUGUCCCAGUUACAAUGGUAGCCUAGGGUCACCCAGUGCAGUUUCUCUAAUAAACUUCAGGGUCUCCAUUUAUUCACUUCUUUAUACCUUAGAAGCUCUUUGCUCUGUUCCCACAAAUCUUGGGUCUCUUCUUAGUCACAUGUGUGUCCAGGUUACAUACAUUGGGUUUCUGGGAAUAUGACUUAAGGCACUGCUUCACCUAAUGCCGCUGGUGACCUGGGAGGAAGGGUUUGGGAUAAAAAUAAAUCUGGGGUAGGCUUGCAGUCCGUAGGCUCGCCACUUGCUGGCCAGCUGAAGUCCUGCUCUGUAUGCAUCGUGGUCACUGGCUGGGGACACAUUUAGCUGAGAUUUGACUACCCUGGGGGCACCAGGCCCCGUGCCUUGGGCUGCUUGGGCCGCCAAGAAGUCAGUGACCCCUCCCAGGUCUGCGGUGCUGGGGCGGCUCUGCCGGCAGAAGCGGAAAAGCUUCGGAAAGGCGUCCUCCCCAGGCUCCGCUACCAGCAUCGCCACAGCGCCCACGGCCACUGCCACCUUCCCCAUCUUGCUGCCUGGCCUCGUCUCCAUCCUGUUGUUGAAAAACAACGAAAAGCCCAUGGGCAACCUGCAGAGGGCAGCGAGGACUCCCACAUUCCUGCCAACUGCAAGGUGGGGCAUUUCCAGCAAGAGUGCAUCUGAGGCCCUGACUUGGCUUUCCCACCUCUGUUAAGUAAGAAAACUGGGUUGUUUGCAGCGUAUGCCUCUGGUGCCAGCAUCACUCCGAUUUCGGCCGCUGUGCGGGGUACAAACCUCCCACCAGAGAGCCAGUCUUUCCACAUUCUACCCAGGGUCUUCUCCAACACUGUGGAAAAGACUGGAAUGGGGGCGUGAUAGCUGAUGAAUGGGCUCCCCACCUCCUGACCUUCAUGGAGACAGCUCUGGAGCUCCUCAGAGGUCCUGGAGGUCCCCCUGCCUACAGCAGUGACCUUGAUAAUGCCCUUGUAUUUGGAUGUCUGCCUGCCCUGUCUCACUCUCCCCACCCCUCACUCCUCCCUCGGGCAACAUCUUCUAGACGCCCAAGCCCUUGUCUCAGGCUUCCUUCUCCUCUUGUUCUUAUUGAUUUCUGGGGGAUAUUUACAUAUUCUGGAUAUGACUCCCUUGUCUGUUACACUAUUGCAAUUAUAUUUUCCCACUCUGUGAUUUUUCUAUUCACUUUUUUCCCCUGUAGUCUUUUUUUUUUUAAGUAAAAAAUUUUUUGGCCUCA